rnacentral:lncRNA from 1 species
AUGACCCACAGGGAAGUCACACAAAGCAAAUUACUGUUAGAACUAUUUCCAGCUUUCUGUAAAUUAUCAGUUACUGUCUCCAGUCUCCUUAGAAAAAUGGCCACACAGAUGGUAGCUGCACAACUUGCCUCAAUGGUGUGGAAUAACCCAAGCCAGCAGCAAUUUCUGCAGCAAUUUGGAGGAAGUUCUGGAUCACAGCUGCCUCAGAUUCAGACAGAUGUUAUACUUCCAUCUUGCAAAAAAAAAGCCGAUCCAGAAACUCCUGUGAAAGAAAGACUCUUUAUUGUGUUUAAUCCUCAUCCUUUACCUCUAGAUGUGUUAGAAGAUAUAUUCUGGUAAGAUUUCAAUUGUAUAAUGUUAUGUUUUUGUAGUAUAAUACAUUUAAACUGGCAAUUAUAGCUUUCUCACAAUCUUGAAACUUACUCUAUCCAGUACCUACUAGGUAGAGUUGAAUUGUUCUUUGGUUUUUGAAAUUCCCUAUUUGAAUCCUCUUUUUCAAUUUAUGAUCAUUUUCUUCUCUUCUUUGCCAUAUGAAGUCUUUACACAGAAUUUUUUGUUAUUUUGUUUAGAAGAAGUAAGUUAUAUAGGAUUUUUUUGAAAAGCUAGAUGUGUGAAAUAAACAAAUAUUUUGUCUGUCAAUAGACAAUACAUCCUGUCUGUCCACUAGAUUUUUUUUACGUAUCCUUUUCAUUGGUUCAGCAGGUCAUUAUUGGUUAAGUAUCUUCUAUUUUCUCAGCACUGUUUGGAUCCUGAGGAUUAUAUAACCAUAUUAAAUAAAAUAUUAUAUAAUAAGUAUAAAUGCAAGUUUGUGUUUUUCACAUAACUCCUAUUGUAGCUUUUCUUUUUGGUCAUUCUUCUUUUUCCAUUGCAAACAUAUUAGUGAAUUAAGAAGGUACAUAGGAAGCUUCUACACAAAACAUCAGGCAUGUGGUCCAGGUACUUUGACCUUUAUUUAGUUGAUUCAUUCAUUAUCUUUCCUGAAUUCCUUCUUCAUGCCAAGAAGGCACUGUAAAUUCUCAAGGUGUUAUGUAAACAAAACAUGAUGUUCUGUUAACAAGAUAAAUGAUCCUCAUCCUCUUAGACCUGAUCCCAUGUAGGAAACAGACAAAUAGG